rnacentral:lncRNA from 1 species
GCGGCAAGGGCGAGAGGAAACUUCAAAGGCACUUCUGAAUAAAAGAACACACGGUGGGACAUCAAUUAUUUACCAGGCAAAGUUUUGGCAGGCACAGGGGCCUUUCCCUGUUUGUUUUGCUGAAGCGGGCAGGAAGAGUGAUUUUGGAGGUUGCAUUGUGCCUGCCCAUACCUACCACUGUGGCCACAAAGGCAGAUGAUGAGUGAAGGUACAGAAAAGUUAGAUGACUUGCCCAGGGUCCUUUGGCUGGAAGCUAGCAGAUCUGAGACUUGAGCCAGGCCUCAUCUCUCCAGAGCAGGCACAUGGCCCCAGGACCAUCCUGUCUUUUGCCCAGAAGAACAGAAAUAUUCUGUGAAAUUCUCUAAAAUUCCCGUAGCAUCGCUUAAGUGAUGAUUAUGUGGCCAUUCCACUGACCUGAGAUUAGAGACAUGAAAACUUGGACGUGCUGGGUAGUAUUCCAAUGGGAGAAUCUGCCUGAGGAGGAAUCAAACGUGGGCGAAAGUAAAGCUGAGAGAAGGACAGAAAUAGAAUUCUGAUGACAUAUUGUUGGAGGUGCUGGAUCUAGUUGUGCCCGAAGCUACCCCUGAGCUUCGAAG